rnacentral:rRNA from 1 species
CACGUAGGGGGCGAGCGUUGUCCGGAUUUAUUGGGCGUAAAGAGCUCGUAGGCGGCUCAGUAAGUCAGGUGUGAAAACUCCAGGCUCAACCUGGAGACGCCACUUGAUACUGCUGUGGCUAGAGUCCGGUAGGGGAGCAUGGAAUUCCUGGUGUAGCGGUGAAAUGCGCAGAUAUCGGGAGGAACACCAGCGGCGAAGGCGGCACUCUGGGCUGGAACUGACGCUGAGGAGCGAAAGCGUGGGUAGCAAACAGG